rnacentral:rRNA from 1 species
UACGUAGGGUGCGAGCGUUGUCCGGAAUUAUUGGGCGUAAAGGGCUCGUAGGCGGUUUGUCGCGUCGGGAGUGAAAACCUCGGGCUUAACUCGGGGCUUGCUUUCGAUACGGGCAGGCUGGAGGUAUGCAGGGGAGAACGGAAUUCCUGGUGUAGCGGUGAAAUGCGCAGAUAUCAGGAGGAACACCGGUGGCGAAGGCGGUUCUCUGGGCAUGACCUGACGCUGAGGAACGAAAGUGUGGGGAGCGAACAGG